CAGACUGCAGUAUCACUGAAGAAGGUUAUAAAGCUCUGGCUUCAGCUCUGAAAUCAACCCUUCACACCUGAUAGAGCUGGAUCUCACAGGAAAUGAUCCUGGACAAUCGGGAGUUAAGCAUUUCAUUGAUUUACUACAGGAUGAACGCUAUAAAUUCACCAUCAGGUUUUUGAAAAGUCUUGCUGCCAGAGGAAGCAUGUGACUAUCUCACUAAAGUCCUGCAAAUAAGUCCGUUAUUACUGACAGAACUGGAUCUGAGUGAAGAUAAAUUACGGGAGAUCUGGAUUGGGAAAAGCUCUCUGCUCUUUUGAUGGACUCUCAUAGCAAACUAGAGACAAUGAAGCUGAAUAAUUGUAAGCUGACAGGAAAAAGCUGUUCAGUUCUAGCUACUGUUCUCUCCUUCAAAACCAUCCUGAAAGAGAUGAACCUGAACAACAAGCCAUCUGCUGGACUCAGGAGUCAAAACAGAUCUGUGAGGGACUAAAGAAUUCUAAACUGAAGAUACUGAAACUUUCAAACUGUAGUAUUUCUGAAGAAGGUUAUAAAGCUCUGGCUUAAGCUCUGAGAUCAAAUCCUUCACACCUGAUAGAGCUGGAUCUCACAGGAAAUGAUUCCUGGACCAUCAGGAGUGGAGGAGCUUAUUAAUGUACAGCUGAAUCAGUGCUGUAUGCUGAAAACACUAAGGUUGUUACAAAGUCCUGAUGCAGACGAAGCCUGUAAAAAAUCUGAGUAAAGAUUUUAAUAUUAAAAAACCUGUUACUCCUGAGAAAGUUGAAUCUUAGUGGACGUAAACUAGGAGAAACAAGAGUGAAUCAGAUCAUUGCUCUACUGCGAGAUAAACACUGUCAACUCAACACCAUGAUGUG